GAUGAACGCUGGCGGCGUGCCUAAUACAUGCAAGUCGAGCGAACAGACGUGGAGCUUGCUCCUCUGACGUUAGCGGCGGACGGGUGAGUAACACGUGGAUAACCUACAUAUAAGACUGGGAUAACUUCGGGAAACCGGAGCUAAUACCGGAUAAUAUAAUGAACCGCAUGGUUCAAUAGUGAAAGACGGUUUUGCUGUCACUUAUAGAUGGAUCCGCGCCGCAUUAGCUAGUUGGUAAGGUAACGGCUUACCAAGGCGACGAUGCGUAGCCGACCUGGGAGGGGGAUAGGCCACACUGGGACUGAGACACGGUCCAGACUCGUACGGGAGGCAGCAGUAGGGAAUCUUCGGCAAUAGGAGAAAGCAUGACGGAGCAACGCCGCAUGGGUGAUGAAGGUCUUGGGAUCGUAAAACACUGUUAUUAGGGAAGAACAAAUGUGUAAGUAACAAUACACGUAUUGACGGUACCUAAUCAAAAAGCAACGGCUAACUACGUG
rnacentral:rRNA from 1 species